rnacentral:snRNA from 1 species
GAGUGUUACAGCUCUUUUAGAAUUUGUCUAGCAGGCUUUCCCGUAUUUGCUGGUGGCGGAGCCCCU